rnacentral:rRNA from 1 species
GACGAACGCUGGCGGCGCGCCUAACACAUGCAAGUCGAACGGAGUCACGAGGAGCUUGCUUUUCUUGGCUUAGUGGCGAACGGGUGAGUAACGCGUGAGUAACCUGCCCUGGAGUGGGGGACAACAGUUGGAAACGACUGCUAAUACCGCAUAAGCCCACGGAUCUGCAUGGAUCUGCGGGAAAAGGAUUUAUUCGCUCUAGGAUGGACUCGCGUCCAAUUAGCUAGUUGGUGAGGUAACGGCCCACCAAGGCGACGAUUGGUAGCCGGACUGAGAGGUUGAACGGCCACAUUGGGACUGAGACACGGCCCAGACUCCUACGGGAGGCAGCAGUGGGGGAUAUUGCACAAUGGGGGAAACCCUGAUGCAGCGACGCCGCGUGGAGGAAGAAGGUUUUCGGAUUGUAAACUCCUGUCGUUAGGGACGAUAAUGACGGUACCUAACAAGAAAGCACCAGCUAACUACGUG